UACGAAGGGGGCUAGCGUUGCUCGGAAUCACUGGGCGUAAAGCGCACGUAGGCGGCUUCUUAAGUCAGGGGUGAAAUCCUGGAGCUCAACUCCAGAACUGCCUUUGAUACUGAGGAGCUUGAGUUCGGGAGAGGUGAGUGGAACUGCGAGUGUAGAGGUGAAAUUCGUAGAUAUUCGCAAGAACACCAGUGGCGAAGGCGGCUCACUGGCCCGAUACUGACGCUGAGGUGCGAAAGCGUGGGGAGCAAACAGG
rnacentral:rRNA from 1 species